rnacentral:rRNA from 1 species
UUGCAGUUAAAAAGCUCGUAGUCGGAUUUUGGCUGAGAACGGUCGGUCCGCCGUUAGGUGUGCACUGACUGGUCUCAGCUUCCUGGUGAGGAGGUGUGCUUCAUCGCCACUUAGUCACCGUGGUAUACUUUGAAAAAAUUAGAGUGUUCAAAGCGGGCUUACGCUUGAAUAUAUUAGCAUGGAAUAACACCAUAGGACUCCUGUCCUAUUUCGUUGGUCUCGGGACGGGAGUAAUGAUUAAGAGGAACAGUUGGGGGCAUUCGUAUUUCAUUGUCAGAAGUGAAAUUCUUGGAUUUAUGAAAGACGAACUUCUGCGAAAGCAUUUGCCAAGGAUGUUUUCAUUGAUCAAGAACGAAAGUUGGGGGCUCGAAGAUGAUAGAUACCAUCCUAGUCUCAACCAUAAACGAUGCCGACUAGGGAUUGGCGGAUGUUAAUUGAUGACUUCGCCAGCACCUUAUGAGAAAUCAAAGUUUUUGGGUUCCGGGGGGAGUAUGGUCGCAAGGCUGAAACUUAAAGGAAUUGACGGAAGGGCACCACCAGGCGUGGAGCCUGCGGCUUAAUUUGACUCAACACGGGGAAACUUACCAGGUCCAGACAUAGUAAGGAUUGACAGAUUGAGAGCUCU